ACUCAAAGGAAUAGACGGGGGCUCACACAAGCGGUGGAGGAUGUGGCUUAAUUCGAGGCUACGCGAAGAACCUUAUCCUAGUCUUGACAUGCACGGAUUAACUCCCUGAAAGGGGAGCCAGGCCUUCGGGUACAACGUGCACAGGUGCUGCAUGGCUGUCGUCAGCUCGUGCUGUGAAGUGUCGGGUUAAGUCCCUUAACGAGCGAAACCCUUGUCACUAGUUGCCAGCGAGUCAUGUCGGGGACUCUAGUGAGACUGCCGGUGUUAAACCGGAGGAAGGCGGGGAUGACGUCAAGUCCUCAUGGCCCUUAUGUCUAGGGCUGCACACGUCCUACAAUGGAGCGUACAAAGGGACGCAAGCUCGCGAGAGCAAGCAAAUCCCAAAAAACGCUCCCCAGUUCGGAUUGCAGGCUGCAACUCGCCUGCAUGAAGCCGGAAUCGCUAGUAAUCGCGGGUCAGCAUACCGCGGUGAAUAUGUUCCUGAGCCUUGUACACACCGCCCGU
rnacentral:rRNA from 1 species